rnacentral:rRNA from 1 species
GUACGGGGGGGCAAGCGUUGUUCGGAAUUACUGGGCGUAAAGGGCUCGUAGGCGGCCAACUAAGUCAGACGUGAAAUCCCUCGGCUUAACCGGGGAACUGCGUCUGAUACUGGAUGGCUAGAGGUUGGGAGAGGGAUGCGGAAUCCGGGUGGAGUGGUGAAAUGCGUAGAGAUCCGGAGGAACACCAGAGGCGAAGGCGGCCUACUGGGCUGCACCUGACGCUGAGCCGCGAAAGCCAGGGGAGCGAACGGG